rnacentral:pre_miRNA from 1 species
CGUGCACCGGUGGGGUCCCUCAGCCUGGCCUGCACCCUCUCACAAUCUAGGACCCCUCAAGGGAUGUUGGAGAGCUGGUUCAGCCCGAUCCCUGCAGGCCAGACUGAGGGACCCCACCAGUGCAUG